rnacentral:tRNA from 1 species
AGUAAAGUGGCUGAGUUGUAAGCGGUAGAUUGUAAGUCUAAGUACGAGUGAAAACUUCUUUAUUAAU